rnacentral:rRNA from 1 species
GACGAACGCUGGCGGCGUGCUUAACACAUGCAAGUCGAACGAAGAGCGAUGGAAGCUUGCUUCUAUCAAUCUUAGUGGCGAACGGGUGAGUAACGCGUAAUCAACCUGCCCUUCAGAGGGGGACAACAGUUGGAAACGACUGCUAAUACCGCAUACGAUCUAAUCUCGGCAUCGAGGAUAGAUGAAAGGUGGCCUCUACAUGUAAGCUAUCACUGAAGGAGGGGAUUGCGUCUGAUUAGCUAGUUGGGGGGGUAACGGCCCACCAAGGCGAUGAUCAGUAGCCGGUCUGAGAGGAUGAACGGCCACAUUGGGACUGAGACACGGCCCAGACUCCUACGGGAGGCAGCAGUGGGGAAUCUUCCGCAAUGGACGAAAGUCUGACGGAGCAACGCCGCGUGAGUGAUGACGGCCUUCGGGUUGUAAAGCUCUGUUAAUCGGGGCGAAAGGCCUUCUUGCGAAUAGUGAGAAGGAUUGACGGUACCGGAAGAGAAAGCCACGGCUAACUACGUG